GUGCACGCUGGCGGUAGGCCUAACACAUGCAAGUCGCACGGCAGCACAGUAAGAGCUUGCUCUUACGGGUGGCGAGUGGCGGACGGGUGAGGAAUACAUCGGAAUCUACUUUUUCGUGGGGGAUAACGUAGGGAAACUUACGCUAAUACCGCAUACGACCUACGGGUGAAAGCAGGGGAUCUUCGGACCUUGCGCGAUUGAAUGAGCCGAUGUCGGAUUAGCUAGUUGGCGGGGUAAAGGCCCACCAAGGCGACGAUCCGUAGCUGGUCUGAGAGGAUGAUCAGCCACACUGGAACUGAGACACGGUCCAGACUCCUACGGGAGGCAGCAGUGGGGAAUAUUGGACAAUGGGCGCAAGCCUGAUCCAGCCAUACCGCGUGGGUGAAGAAGGCCUUCGGGUUGUAAAGCCCUUUUGUUGGGAAAGAAAAGCAGCAGGUUAAUACCCCGCUGUUCUGGCGGUACCCAAAGAAUAAGCACCGGCUAACUUCGUG
rnacentral:rRNA from 1 species